GUUGGUUAAGUCCCGCAACGAGCGCAACCCUUGUCUUUAGUUGCCAUCAUUAAGUUGGGCACUCUAAAGAGACUGCCGGUGUCAAACCGGAGGAAGGUGGGGAUGACGUCAAGUCCUCAUGGCCUUUAUGACCAGGGCUACACACGUACUACAAUGGCAGGUACAAAGGGCAGCCACUUAGCGAUAAGGCGCGAAUCCCGUAAAACCUGUCUCAGUCCGGAUUGGAGUCUGCAACUCGACUCCAUGAAGUUGGAAUCGCUAGUAAUCGCAGAUCAGCACGCCGCGGUGAAUACGUUCCCGGGCCUU
rnacentral:rRNA from 1 species